rnacentral:rRNA from 1 species
GACAGAGGGUGCAAACGUUGUUCGGAAUUACUGGGCGUAAAGCGCGUGUAGGCGGCUAAGUAAGUCGGGCGUGAAAUCCCCACGGCUCAACCGUGGAAGUGCACUCGAAACUGCAUAGCUAGAGUCCUGGAGAGGAAGGUGGAAUGCUUGGUGUAGAGGUGAAAUUCGUAGAUAUUGGGAAGAACACCGAUGGCGAAGGCAGCCAUCUGGACCGACACUGACGCUGAGGCGCGAAAGCGUGGGGAGCAAACAGG